AGAUACUUAACUUAAAAAGACUGAUACUGCUGUUGGGUGUGCUACUGUUUCAGAAAGGAAGUUGAAAGAAGGUAUGAUAUGUAUAAUAUCAUGUUCAGUAAUUUAAUUUCUCUAUGUAAUUAUAAACCGUUGUUAACGAAAAACUAUUAUGAGCAGAUUAUUAUUAGUUAGAUACCAACAAAACUUUUAUAAACAGUUUCCAAUGU